rnacentral:rRNA from 1 species
CAGAGAGAAGCGACUGUUUACUAAAAACACAGGUCCGUGCGAAGUCGUAAGACGAUGUAUACGGACUGACGCCUGCCCGGUGCUGGAAGGUUAAGAGGACCGGUUAGCCAUAAUGGCGAAGCUGAGAAUUUAAGCCCCAGUAAACGGCGGUGGUAACUAUAACCAUCCUAAGGUAGCGAAAUUCCUUGUCGGGUAAGUUCCGACCUGCACGAAUGGCGUAAACGACUUCUCUGCUGUCUCAACCACAGACUCGGCGAAAUUGCAUUACGAGUAAAGAUGCUCGUUACGCGCGGCAGGACGAAAAGACCCCGGGACCUUCACUAUAGCUUGGUAUUGGUGUUCGGUUCGGUUGUGUAGGAUAGGUGGGAGACUGUGAAGCGGGCACGCCAGUGUUCGUGGAGUCGUUGUUGAAAUACCACUCUGAUCGUAUUGGACAUCUACCUCGGACCAUGAUCUGGUUCAGGGACAGUGCCUGGUGGGUAGUUUACUGGGCGGUUUGCCUCCAAAAUGUAACGGAGGCGCCAAGGUCCCUCUCAGCCUGGUUGGCAAUCAGGUGUCGAGUGCAAGUGCACAAGGGAGCUUGACUGUGAGACUGACAGGUCGAGCAGGGACGAAAGUCGGGACUAGUGAUCCGGCACCGGCAAGUGAAGCGGUGUCGCUCACGGAUAAAAGGUACCCGGGGAUAACAGGCUGAUCUUCCCAAGAGUCCAUAUCGACGGGAUGGUUUGGCACCUCGAUGUCGGCUCGUCGCAUCCUGGGGCUGGAGUAGGUCCCAAGGGUUGGGCUGUUCGCCCAUUAAAGCGGCACGCGAGCUGGGUUUAGAACGUCGUGAGACAGUUCGGUCUCUAUCCGCCGCGCGCGUUAGAAACUUGAGGAAGGCUGUCCCUAGUACGAGAGGACCGGGACGGACGAACCUCUGGUGUGCCAGUUGUUCGCCAGGAGCACUGCUGGUUAGCUACGUUCGGAAGGGAUAACCGCUGAAAGCAUCUAAGCGGGAAGCCUGUUCCAAGAUGAGGUUUCUCACCCCCUCGAGGGGUAAGGCCCCCGGCAGACCACCGUGUUGAUAGGCCGAACUGGAAGCACAGUAAUGUGUGGAGGUGACUGGUACUAAUAGGCCGAGGACUUACCACCAA